UAUAUUCAUACGCAUACUCAAGCUAGCGCAGUAUGUUAACACGCUUGUGCUAUAAACCUAGUAGGCACACUAUCAUGAUAACUGAAGAGGAAAUUUUUGGUAAGAACCUGCCUAUUCAUUCCUUACAUCAUGAUUCUCAGAUUUCCCCCCUCAGAUUUAUACUGCAGCUCUGAGCUCUUCAGUGAAAUAUGCUUAAAGUCUUGCUCAUCCCUCCCUGGAACUACACACUGGUGAGCACAGUCGUGUGUGCUGCACAGCCUGAGUACCAGAACAGAUGCUUCUGCACUGACUCUUCAUGUGAAAAACAGUCCACAGAGGUAUAUUCAAACAAGAAAUAUCAUAUAAAACAUAGAACAGAAGAAAAAGCACAAGGACAGCACAGCACUUAGAGUUCAUGAACUGCGAAAAAGAUGUUAAGUAAAGGACAUUACUUAAAUCACUUGAAAAACAAUAGUGAAGCUCAAAAUGAUAAAUCUAUGUUCCAAGUGGCCUGAAUGUCUCUACAGAAAAGGUCUUGGUCUUCUACAGAGAUGAGUAUCAGAAGUCUUUCUGAGUUUCUGAACUUUCAUGGGGAAUGAGUGAGACGGGGAAGUCCUCUUACAAGUAAGGGAUAUCUGGGAAUUAUGGAUAAUGGAAGAAUGUGAAAGCACAGUGAGAGUUGAAACAUGAAGAAAAAGAAGUGUGUGGAUUUCCUCAACUAGAACCAAAAAUGAAACUUCUUUUAUUACUGCAUUGAUCACUAAUCCUGGCAGAAUUCAUGUCACAUUGUGAAAAUAAGCACAAAGGAGUUUUCUCACCAAACUGAUCAUAGAGGAUGACAGUAUGAAAAAGAGGAAAACCAGAUGGAUUAUACUGGCAGCAUCUCAGGAAGGCAGAAUUAAUUGCUCCAAUUAAUACUGGAGAGCCAGCUGCAAUCUCAUCUUGCUAAACUUGUA